GACAGAGGGUGCGAACGUUGUUCGGAAUUACUGGGCGUAAAGCGUGUGUAGGCUGCUACAUAAGUCGGAUGUGAAAGCCCCGGGCUCAACCCGGGAAGUGCACUCGAUACUGCGUAGCUUGAGUCUCGGAGAGGUUGGUGGAAUUCUCGGUGUAGAGGUGAAAUUCGUAGAUAUCGAGAGGAACACCGGUGGCGAAGGCGGCCAACUGGACGAAGACUGACGCUGAGACACGAAAGCGUGGGGAGCAAACAGG
rnacentral:rRNA from 1 species